CCACUGCUCAGUUGAUAGAGCACAAGGCUCUUAACCUUGUGGAUGUGAGUUCGAGCCCUAUGGUGGG
rfam:Triticum urartu cultivar G1812 contig2776, whole genome shotgun sequence.